UACGGGGGGGGCAAGCGUUGUUCGGAAUUACUGGGCGUAAAGGGCUCGUAGGCGGCCAACUAAGUCAGACGUGAAAUCUCUCGGCUCAACCGGGAGAGGUUGUCCGAUACUGCUGGACUUGAGGGCAGUAGAGGGUGGUGGAAUUCCGGGUGUAGUGGUGAAAUGCGUAGAUAUCCGGAGGAACACCAGUGGCGAAAGCGGCCACCUGGACUGUACCUGACGCUGACACGCGAAAGCUAGGGGAGCGAACGGG
rnacentral:rRNA from 1 species